rnacentral:lncRNA from 1 species
AUCCUUUAUGCCCUGGAAGCUUUAGAAUCACAUUGGCAGCAGGGAAGAUCAGAGCAGCAAAGGGAUCCAGAAGGCAGACAGCCACCUAUACGUUUCUCAAAGGUCAUCCAGAUUUGGUCACUCAUUCUGAAAUGAAGAAUUGCCCAGUUUCCUCUGUGCAAGGACAUACUCAGUUGCAAAAAGAAGACAAUAUGUGUGACAAUAGUGCAGGUCAUGUCAACACAAUAUAUCCUUCCAUGAGACUCAAGUUCAAGACUAUUGUCCAUUUCCCAUUUAUGUGUUCUUGGCAUAAGCAUCUUGGCGGUUUUGUGUCUUCACCCUGUCAUACUGGUGACCUCUCUGCAGGAUUUCCUGAAGUUGUAACUUACCCUUUUUAAAACUGUAAUUGAGUUUUGAACUAUUCACCUUAAAGAAAGAAAGAAAGCCCCGUGAAUCCAAUCUGAGUGUGAGCAGAAUAAAAAUGGUCUUGGGCUCCA